UAGUCUGGUACAGACGCCCCGCAUUCACCUGCGGCGGCGGGGGCCGCACCUGAGGUGGGGGCGGUGUCUUUUCCGCCAUGUUGGGCUUUGCCCGCCUCUGCCACCGGCCCUUAGGCGGGUCUGGCAGGAAAAAGUCCUGCCCUGCCCUGCUCGCCUGGCGCAUAGGGAGCAGCUCGCCGGGUGUUUGGAGAACCGGAACUUGGCAGCCGGGGACGUAGCGAAAAACCUAUGCGGAAAGCUGCGUUGUCUAGAGACGUUCCCGUGUGCUUAGCACGGGUGAGAGGUGGCUCGAAUUCUCAGUUCUGUGGCCCCGAGUUCACGAGAGACAUGGAAGUUGUAGAGAAUGUCCAGAGAAGGGCAACAGAGCUGGUGAAGCGGCUGGAGUAGAAGGAGGAACGGCUGAGGGUGUUUUGCCUGGAGAAAAGACAGCUCAGAGAGAAUCUUACCGCUCUCUACAACUCCCCGCAAGGAGUCUGUAGCCAGGUGGGGUCGGCCUCUUCUGCCUCUUACCAGGCAGCUGGCAACAGAUUUAGAGGACACGGCCUCAAGCUGCGGCAGGGAGGUUUAGUCUGGACGUCAGGAGGAAUUUCUUCAUUGAAAGGGUGAUGAGACGUUGGACCAGAAGUCAGUGUUCCUGGAGGUGUUUAAAGAAAGACUGGACGUGGCACUUAGUGCCAUGGUCUUGUUUGACAUGGUGUUAGGUCAUGGUUUGGAUUCGAUGAUCUCACAGGUCUUUUCCAACCUAAUUGAUUUUGUGAUUAUGGACAGCCCUUAAUUCUAAUAUAGUAAUGAGUAAGUAAUGUCUCCUGAUGUCCUGAUUCCAGCUGGGGUAGUGUUAAUUUUUUUGCAGGUGCCAGGAGGGAGCGUGACUCGGAUGUGGAGGUUAUUCUGUCCCAGCUCACAUCAUUGAUCAUUGCCAGGAGCAGGGGAAAAGGGUUUUUUCCUGUGGAGAAAACGUGGAGGAGGGACCCGACUGGUAUUGUGUAUUGGGAGCGGGGGCAGGUUUCUUAUCUCAUUGAUGUUUCCAGUAUAUUGUUGUGCCUCUAAUUCUCAACUCCAUCCCAAUGCAGCAGGAAAGAUGAGGGGAAGGGGGAGUGAGAAGGAGCAGUGUGUGGUUUGGGAAGGUCUCAGUGGGGGUCCUGAACUGAGAAGUACCAUUAUUAAACCGUGACACCUGGGCAGAGCAUGAAGAGGUCUGCUUUGAGCUGCUGCCAACAUCCUCCUGCUUUUGCUGAAUUUCGCUACAGAAGGUUUAGCUCACGUGAACCGUUUUGCUGUUCUUUUAAUUCCUUGGAUUAAAGAAUAAUAUUAAGACUGUGUUACAUGCUAAGAGCAUAUGCCAUCCAGAGGGAAAACAGAAGAGGUGAAAUUUAGUCCACAGAAGUGCUUUACUUUGUUGGUGACUCCAAGCCCUACUCAAGCUCCUGCUGCUGCAAGUAUUUCCUUCUUGGCAGUGCACAGUCUGAGACACAGAACCAUAAAUAUUUGCUGUGCCUUAUAUACACCAAGAUGGACGUCAGUACUGAGUUUUUUCACUUUGAACAAUGAGAAGAUAGCACUUUGGGAAGCCUAAGCCAGCUAUUCCUGCUGCAUGCAUGCCUGAAUUGAUGGCAUUGUUCUGCGGAGCUGAGAGAUUCUCCUUCCUGUUGGUCUGUCCCUGUGUGAAGCAGGAGUUCACAGGAUUAGAAUGAGCCAGAAAUUAAAGGAGGAGCCCCUCCCUCAAAGUUUGGACAUCCACUUGGAAACCUUUAGAUCCCACUCCCAGUUCAAGCGAUUUGUGAGGGCAAGUGUUCCAGCUAAGAGCUUGCAGUUGGACACUGCCUUCGCUAAGAUCAAGCUCUCCUCAGGCUCAGACUGUCAGGGCUAUUUUCAUGAGAUGAAAGAAAUCUUAAUUAAGUGUUCAUAUCUUUGUCAGCCAGACUCAGAAUAAAAAAAUGAUGUGAUUCCCUUGAGCUUCACUGCUUGUUAUACUCUGCAAACGCUGCUUGUUAUACUCGGCAACAAAGAUACUGGGAAGAAUAAUGUGAAUCUCAUUUAACAUCACAAAGAAGCUUUCCACAGCAGGAAAAGCUGAUGUGGAACUAUUGAAUUUGCAUAAAAAAAACCUCUCCACUUUAUCCUCCCAAAAAAAAAAAAAAAAAAGGAAAAGAACGAUUUAAAGAGUAUUUUAAGAAUGAUGGCAUUGUUUCUUGUACUUAAGGGAAGAGGUGAUAGGGUAAUGAUUUUAGUCCUACCCUCUGUGAAAGAUUCCAGUUCUUCCUUGCCACAAGCAGCCCAGAUGACCUCAGGCAAGAGACUUCCUUCUCGCUGAGCCUUAAUUCUCUCCUUUUUGCUAGUUCAAAGAGGAUUUCUGAGGCUAAAUAUAUUAAAAACUCUGGGCUCAGCUUACAGUCAUGACAGACCGAGCAAAAUCUCAGAGAAUCAGCGAGUACUAGUGAUAAAACUUCCUCACGAACAGACCAUGGCAUGCAGGACCAAAGCAUCCACAGCAGUAAGAGCAGGAAGCCAUACACAGAUCUGCAAGUCAGAAGCAGCUGCAAAAGAAUGCUUGGGAUUCCUUUACCAGCAGGACGUUUUAACUCCUUCCCUCUCAGCAGUCUGUCCUUGGCUAGAAGAUGGGGGUUGAAUGCUGUAACCACACACUGAACUAUAGCCAGGAUGGCAAGAUUUUGAAGAAUAAGGUGCUGUUCUGCUUCAGCAUUUGCUGUGUUGUGUGAAUGGAAACCUACAGACUCUGAACUGAUAAUCAUAUGCAACCUCGGGCAGAGCUCGCAUCACUUUCUAGUGAAAAUAUUGUCCUGAUGGGGGUUCAGAAACAGAGGCACAGUGAUCUGAUCUGAUCUGACCAACACUACUACAGGUCAACCAAAGUUACAGGAACACCUUGUCCAUUGGCUUCUUUGCCAGGAGAUAAAAGGUGCAGUGCAGGACAUGUUGGAGCUCCUCCAUCCCAAAUGGAAGGCACUUGAGUAUGAGGGCAGGAACAAGCUACUGCUAUUUUUAAUUUUUUUUCCUAUAACUUUAUGCAUGUGCCUGCUACUCUGCAUUCUAAAACUAAAAAAAAAAAAAACAAACAAACCAAAAAAACCCC